AUUGAACGCUGGCGGCAUGCUUUACACAUGCAAGUCGAACGGCAGCGCGGGCGUCUGCCUGUCGGCGAGUGUCGAACGGGUGAGUAAUGCAUCGGAACGUGCCCAGUGGUGGGGGAGAGCCCGUCGAAAGCCGGAUUAAUACCACAUACGACCUGAGGGUGAAAGCUGAGAACCGAAAAACCGCUCGCUAUUCGAGCGUACGAUGUCGGAUUAGCUAGUUGGUGGGGUAAAGGCUUACCAAGGCGACGAUCCGUAGCUGGUCUGAGAGGACGACCAGCCACACUGGGACUGAGACACGGCCCAGACUCCUCCGGGAGGCAGCAGUGGGGAAUUUUGGACAAUGGGGGAAACCCUGCUCCAGCAAUGCCGCGUGCGGGAAGAAGGCCUUCGGGUUGUAAACCGCUUUUGUUCGGGAAGAAAUCCUCUGGGCUAAUACCCCGGGGGGAUGACGGUACCGGACGAAUAAGCACCGGCUAACUACGUG
rnacentral:rRNA from 1 species